rnacentral:lncRNA from 1 species
UCCAACACAAUGGAUAUGAAGUGCAUUUCAGUAAUGAUAUAUGCACUAUAAGAGACAAGAGUAUGAAAAUUAUAGCCAAGGUAAGUAUGACCAAAAAAUCGGAUGUUUCCAGUAACUUUCAACUACGGUCACUUACCUUGCUAUAAUUCAAAUGCUCUUGAUGAUACUUGGUUAUGGCACAUGAGGUUUGGCCACUUUAAU